UUGGAUACACAAUGGAACCACGGU
rnacentral:miRNA from 1 species